rnacentral:rRNA from 1 species
GGCCUAUUGAAAGUUAAUUUUAGGUCUUACCUGCCCACUGAGAAUUUAAAUGGCCGCAGUAUUUUGACUGUGCUAAGGUAGCAUAAUCAUUAGUUUUUUAAUUGGAAGCUAGUAUGAAGGGUUUGAUGAAAAAAAAACUGUCUUUUAAUAAUUAAAUUAAAAUUUUAUUAUUAAGUUAAAAAGCUUAAAUCUUUUUAAAAGACGAGAAGACCCUAUAGAGUUUUAUUUUUUUAUUUUAUAUAAUAUUUAGAAUUUAAAAUUAUAUAUUUUAUAAGAAAUUUAAUUGGGGUGAUUGAAAAACUUAAUAAACUUUUUUUAUUUUUAUUUAUAAAUUUAUAUAUUUUUGAUCCAUAAUAAAUGAUUAUAAGAUGAAAUUACCUUAGGGAUAACAGCGUAAUUUUAUUGGAGAGUUCAAAUUGAUAAUAAAGAUUGCGA